rnacentral:rRNA from 1 species
UACGUAGGGUGCGAGCGUUGUCCGGAAUUAUUGGGCGUAAAGAGCUCGUAGGCGGUGUGUCACGUCGUUCGUGAAAACCUGCAGCUUAACUGUGGGCGUGCGGUCGAUACGGGCAUCACUGGAGUUCGGCAGGGGAGACUGGAAUUCCUGGUGUAGCGGUGAAAUGCGUAGAUAUCUGGAGGAACACCGGUGGCGAAGGCGGCAUCCUGGACCGGCAUUGACGCUGAGGCGCGAAAGCCAGGGGAGCAAACGGGG